ensembl:ncRNA lncRNA:CR44679 long non-coding RNA:CR44679
GACAAAUUCUAUUUUUAGGCAUCUAUAAAAAUGUGCGAGCUGAUGAUGGGAUUUUAUUGACAACACCUGAACUCACACUUAAAAAGCAGCUGUGCUUCACUGUGAGAAACUUUGCUGUUUAUUGGGCGGGAUUUUAAGACAAUGUAUGGAAAUAAUUAGUAAAUGGAAUUUUAUACAUUUUUAAAUUCCUAUUUUGCCUGUCUUUUUCCCCUUCUACUACGUCAUAUUCUGCAAAAACCGAUUUCGCCCACGCGUCUCUUCUCACUCCACCACAAUCACCAUCACUUUCUCCAUCUCUCUUUCUCUCGUUCUACCUCUCUCUUUCGCACUUUCUCCUCUGUGCAAUCGAUAAAUGCGUGGUACGAUGUCAGCUCACUGCGCAGCUUUCGCCUCUGAUGACGUCAAUGGAAAAAGCUCAAUCCAAAACCAAAACAACAACAGUGCCUCCCUUAGGAGCCAACCACCUCCCUCUUACCAAAAUAAAUUGACAAAAGCCGGCAAAAGCUUGACAGGCGUCAGGAAAAUUGGAUUAUAGUAAAACUGAGAAAACAGAGAGGGAGAGAGGGAGAGAGAGAGCGGGACAGACAAAGAAUCCUUAUGGCGUUGGCGUUAGCUAAAGGCCCUUGAAAUGGCAAAAGUCUGUGAUGCGGGCGGAUCCAGAAUAUAUAUCCAUAUAACAUAAUAUGCAGAAAACAAAAUGAUUGAAAAUCAAUAUUUUGCGUUAUUAAAUUUUGUGACUAUUUUACACAUAAAUGUCUAGAACUGAUAAUUAAUUGUUAUCCUGUUCAUUCGCCUCUGAACAGAAAUAACCGCGAAACUCUCACCGCUCUCCCAAGCCAGACAGACAUCCUGGAAGAGAGAGAGAGAGCGAGCGAGUUUGACAGAAAGAGGAAUGUAAAAAACCUCGGUGGUAAAGAGUUUGAGUGCGAACGUCACGACCAUGACGUCACACUGACGUCAGUGGGCGUAUUGCCAAAAAGAAAACGCUGUUGCGGCGGAAUGAAUGAGGGCGACGGAAUGCUGCAAAAUGGCAGAUCGAUAU